ACCAUAUCUAGCCCACACUCCACCCAUUACAACUAUCACAAAUAAAUUAAAUAAAACAUUCACCAUGCGUUUAAAGUAUAGGAGAUAGAAAUUUAAACACAACUGGCGCUAUAGAGAAAGUACCGUAAGGGAAAGAUGAAAGAUUUAUUAAAAGUAAAAAAAAGCAAAGAUUACCCCUUGUACCUUUUGCAUAAUGAUUUAACUAGCAAAUACUUAGCAAAGAGUUCUUAAGUUAAAUAUCCCGAAACCAGACGAGCUACUUACAAGCAGUGAAUAGAACAAACUCAUCUAUGUGGCAAAAUAGUGAGAAGACUUAUAAGUAGAGGUGAAAAGCCCAACGAGCCUGGUGAUAGCUGGUUGUCCAAAAAAGGAAUUUCAGUUCAACAUUAAAUAAUACCAAAAACCACAUCAAGUUUAAAUGUAUAUUUAAUCGUUAGUCUAAAAGGGUACAGCCUUUUAGAAAUGGAUACAACCUUAACUAGAGAGUAAAAUUGAAUCUAAAACAUAGUUGGCCUAAAAGCAGCCAUCAAUUAAGAAAGCGUUCAAGCUCAACAAAAAAAACCAGAUUUUAAUUUCAACAAUAAAUUAACUAACUCCUAGCUUAAAUAUUGGACUAAUCUAUUUAAACAUAGAAGCAAUACUGUUAAUAUGAGUAACAAGAAAAUUUUCUCCUUGCACAAGCUUAUAUCAGUGCCUGAUAUUAUACUGAUAAUUAACAGUCAAUAAAUAUAACCCAACGCUAAAACAUUUAUUAAACAUACUGUUAACCCAACACAGGCGUGCAUUAAGGAAAGAUUAAAAAGAGUAAAAGGAACUCGGCAAACACAAACCCCGCCUGUUUACCAAAAACAUCACCUCUAGCAUAACCAGUAUUAGAGGCACUGCCUGCCCAGUGACCUACGUUAAACGGCCGCGGUAUUCUGACCGUGCAAAGGUAGCAUAAUCACUUGUUCUCCAAAUAAGGACUUGUAUGAAUGGCCACACGAGGGUUUUACUGUCUCUUACUUUUAAUCAGUGAAAUUGACCUUCCCGUGAAGAGGCGGGAAUAAUAUAAUAAGACGAGAAGACCCUAUGGAGCUUCAAUUAAUUAACCCAAAUAGCCACAAACUAAUACCAUCAAGGGAUAUAAAACUUUAUAUGGGUUAACAAUUUCGGUUGGGGUGACCUCGGAGCACAAAAAAUCCUCCGAGUGAUUAAAGCCUAGGCCUACCAGCCAAAGCAUACUAUCACUUAUUGAUCCAAAAUUUUUGAUCAACGGAACAAGUUACCCUAGGGAUAACAGCGCAAUCCUAUUCUAGAGUCCAUAUCAACAAUAGGGUUUACGACCUCGAUGUUGGAUCAGGACAUCCUAAUGGUGCAGCCGCUAUUAAGGGUUCGUUUGUUCAACGAUUAAAGUCCUACGUGAUCUGAGUUCAGACCGGAGCAAUCCAGGUCGGUUUCUAUCUAUUACGCAUUUCUCCCAGUACGAAAGGACAAGAGAAAUAAGGCCAACUUCAACAAAGCGCCUUCAAAAUAACUAAUGAUUUAGUCUCAACCUAACAAUUAAGCGCAAACAUACCCCACUCAAGAUCAGGGUUUU
rnacentral:rRNA from 1 species